GCGAAGGUGGCGGAAUUGGUAGACGCGCUAGCUUCAGGUGUUAGUGUCCUUACGGACGUGGGGGUUCAAGUCCCCCCCGUCGCACCA
rnacentral:tRNA from 2 species